rnacentral:rRNA from 1 species
ACGGCUCAGUAACACGUAGUCAACCUACCCUAUGGACGGGAAUAACCUCGGGAAACUGAGAAUAAUGCCCGAUAGAACAUUAUACCUGGAAUGGUUUAUGUUUCAAAUGAUUUAUCGCCGUAGGAUGGGACUGCGGCCUAUCAGUUUGUUGGUGAGGUAAUGGCCCACCAAGACUAUUACAGGUACGGGCUCUGAGAGGAGUAGCCCGGAGAUGGGUACUGAGACACGGACCCAGGCCCUAUGGGGCGCAGCAGGCGAGAAAACUUUGCAAUGUGCGAAAGCACGACAAGGUUAAUCCGAGUGGUUUCUGCUAAAGGAACCUUUUGUCAGUCCUAGAAACACUGAUGAAUAAGGGGUGGGCAAGUUCUGGUGUCAGCCGCCGCGGUAAAACCAGCACCUCAAGUGGUCAGGAUGAUUAUUGGGCCUAAAGCAUCCGUAGCCGGCUCUAUAAGUUUUCGGUUAAAUCUGUACGCUCAACGUACAGGCUGCCGGGAAUACUGCAGAGCUAGGGAGUGGGAGAGGUAGACGGUACUCGGUAGGAAGGGGUAAAAUCCUUUGAUCUAUUGAUGACCACCUGUGGCGAAGGCGGUCUACCAGAACGCGCCCGACGGUGAGGGAUGAAAGCUGGGGGAGCGAACCGGAUUAGAUACCCGGGUAGUCCCAGCUGUAAACGAUGCAGGCUAGGUGUUUGGGCGGCCACGAGCCGCCCUAGUGCCGCAGGGAAGCUGUUAAGCCUGCCGCCUGGGGAGUACGGCCGCAAGGCUGAAACUUAAAGGAAUUGGCGGGGGAGCACCACAAGGGGUGAAGCUUGCGGUUUAAUUGGAUUCAACGCCGGA